UCUUCAUCCGUUCUCUCUCAACUUCUUUCUCUUCCAUACCAACUACUACUAAACUACAAGACCAGAGCCAUGACUGCUAAACAAAUCCCUAGGCAAGACCCACAAAAUAUGAAACAGAGUAUUUCAAUUCCAGUCGCUCUCUGCUCCAACAAUGGUGUUAACUAGGCCAUCAAAAAGGUCGAUUUGGAUUACAAGAAGUCAUUAAGAUUCUAAGUUUCAUUGAGGAUGUUGGAUUGCAUAUUCACCAGCUCAUGUUUGGUUCAAAAUUUCAUAUUAAUAUUCACACACUUACAAAGAAAACCAGGCCCUAAAAGAAUGCCCACAAUGAGGUUUUUGAAUAUCAAAUUAUGUUGCUAUCUAACAACAAUUGAAAACCAAAACAUGAGAUAAUUAUUGUUGCAAUUUUGCGAUAUUGUA